rnacentral:rRNA from 1 species
ACUGGGUGUAAAGGGCGUGUAGGCGGAGAUGCAAGUUGGGAGUGAAAUCCAUGGGCUCAACCCAUGAACUGCUUUCAAAACUGCAUCCCUUGAGUAUCGGAGAGGCAAGCGGAAUUCCUAGUGUAGCGGUGAAAUGCGUAGAUAUUAGGAGGAACACCAGUGGCGAAGGCGGCUUGCUGGACGACGACUGACGCUGAGGCGCGAAAGCGUGGGGAGCAAACAGGAUUAGAUACCCUGGUAGUCCACGCUGUAAACGAUGAAUACUAGGUGUGGGAGGACUGACCCCUUCCGUGCCGUAGUUAACACAAUAAGUAUUCCACCUGGGGAGUACGACCGCAAGGUUGAAACUCAAAGGAAUUGACGGGGGCCCGCACAAGCAGUGGAUUAUGUGGUUUAAUUCGACGCAACGCGAAGAACCUUACCAGGAUUUGACAUCCAACUAACGAAGUAGAGAUACAUUAGGUGCCCUUCGGGGAAAGUUGAGACAGGUGGUGCAUGGUUGUCGUCAGCUCGUGUCGUGAGAUGUUGGGUUAAGUCCCGCAACGAGCGCAACCCCUAUUGUUAGUUGCUACGCAAGAGCACUCUAGCGAGACUGCCGUUGACAAAACGGAGGAAGGCGGGGACGACGUCAAAUCAUCAUGCCCCUUAUGUCCUGGGCUACACACGUAAUACAAUGGCCGUCAACAAAGGGAAGCAAAGCCGCGAGGUGGAGCAAACCCCCAAAAACGGUCUCAGUUCGGAUUGCAGGCUGCAACUCGCCUGCAUGAAGCUGGAAUUGCUAGUAAU